UCCCUACGGGGCGCAGCAGUCGGGAAUAUUGCGCAAUGGAGGAAACUCUGACGCAGUGACGCCGCGUAUAGGAAGAAGGUUUUCGGAUUGUAAACUAUUGUCGUUAGGGAAGAUAAAAGACAGUACCUAAGGAGGAAGCCCCGGCUAACUACGUGCCAGCAGCCGCGGUAAUACGUAGGGGGCAAGCGUUAUCCGGAUUUACUGGGUGUAAAGGGAGCGUAGGCGGCGAUGCAAGUCAGAAGUGAAAGCCCGGGGCUCAACUCCGGGACUGCUUUUGAAACUGUGUUGCUAGAUUGCAGGAGAGG
rnacentral:rRNA from 1 species